rnacentral:rRNA from 1 species
UACGAAGGUCCCAAGCGUUGUUCGGAUUUACUGGGCGUAAAGCGUCUGUAGGCGGCGCGGUAAGUCAGAUGUGAAAUCCCGGGGCUCAACCCCGGAACUGCAUCCGAUACUGUCGUGCUUGAGGGUCGGAGGGGAGUCUGGAAUUCUCGGUGUAGCAGUGAAAUGCGUAGAUAUCGAGAGGAACACUAGUGGCGAAGGCGAGACUCUGGACGACACCUGACGCUGAGAGACGAAGACCAGGGGAGCGAAAAGG